rnacentral:lncRNA from 1 species
CACGGCGCCCCGGCCCGAGGCCUGGCGCAGAGCAGCGGGAGGCGGCGCAGGCCGCGGCGGGGCCUGCAGCGGCCGCCGACCCCGCAACGCGGGGGAGAGAGCCCUGGAGCGGCUCCGCCUCGGGCUCGGCUGCUGGGGGCGUCCCCUCAGCUACUUACCGGGGGAGAAGAGAGCCGGGAUCCCGGGACCCGGGGCUGGACCGCGGAGAUGCCCCAAACUGACACGGCCGCCAUCUUGGAGACACAAGGACUUCUGGGAAGAUGGCAGAGUGGUGAACAGCAGAGAAACAGCCUCUCCAAGAUCUGGUGUCCAGACCCUGGAAUACAAUGUGAGGAAGAGAAGAAAAAGGGAAAUGGAUCCCUGGGACCCAGCAAGGAUCAGAAGC